CUGGAGGACGCGCACGAGACCAUCAGGGAGAGCAAGCCCGUGUACAUCAGCGUCAGCUGCAACCUACCGGGACUGGUGCAUCCGACGUUCAUCACAAAUGGCAUACUUGUUGCCAAGGCCGAGCAACCUGAUGGGUCUUACCGCCGCCGUCGAGGCAACAGUGUCGUUCCUCGACAAGGCCGUGAAGCUAAGUUGGUGAUGGUGGCCGGCCCCAAGAUCCGCGUGGCCAAGGCCGUCGACGCCUUCGUGGAGCUGGCGGAGGCGAGCGGGUACACGGUGGCGGCCAUGCUGUCGCCCAACGAGCUAGCCAAUACCAAUAAUCUAGUCGUUGCUCUAUUUCUGCUUCCUUUUCCAGUUAACCUUAUGGUAUAG
rnacentral:misc_RNA from 1 species